CAUUAGACGAAUCAUCUGGAAAGAUGAAUCAAAGAAGGUAAUAAUCCUGUAGUCGAAAAUGUUGUCUCUCUUGAGUGGAUCCUGAGUACGACGGAGCACGUGAAAUUCCGUCGGAAUCUGGGAGGACCAUCUCCUAAGGCUAAAUACUCUCUAGUGACCGAUAGUGAACCAGUACCGUGAGGGAAAGGUGAAAAGCACCCCGGAAGGGGAGUGAAAUAGAACC
rnacentral:rRNA from 1 species